rnacentral:rRNA from 1 species
CAAAAUCUCAACUUUAUUAGAAGAGACGCAUUUAUUAGAUAAAAAGCCAAUGCAUGCUUUUACAGUAUGGAAAUUGGUAAUUUAUAAUAACUUAGCAAAUCGCAAAGUGAAAACAGGCGAUAAAUCAUUCAAGUUUCUGACCUAUCAGCUUUCGACGGUAUGGUAUUGGCUUACCGUGGCAGUGACGGUUAACGGGGGAUUAGGGUUCGAUUCCGGAGAGGGAGCCUGAGAAACGGCUACCACAUCUAAGGAAGGCAGCAGGCGCGCAAAUUACCCAAUUCUAACAGUUUGAGAGAGGUAGUAACAAGAAAUAACAAUACAAGGCAAUUAAAAUGCUUUGUAAUUGGAAUGAUAGAAAUUUAAACCCUUUUUAAAGUAUCAAUUGGAGGGCAAGUCUGGUGCCAGCAGCCGCGGUAAUUCCAGCUCCAAUAGCGUAUAUUAAAAUUGUUGCAGUUAAAAAGCUCGUAGUUGAAGUUCUGCUAAAAGUAACCGGUCUGCUUUUAAUAAAAGUGGUAUCUUGGUGUGUAUUUAGCAAUGAUGUCCUUUGAAGUGUUUUUUACUUUAUUGUAAUAAAGCAUAUUCAGGACUUUUACUUUGAGAAAAUUAGAGUGUUUCUAGCAGGCUGACGCUUUGAAUACUGCAGCAU